UCAGCAAGUACCUCUGUAACAAUCUGCAGGUGUGCUAAAACGACCUCUCAGUGAAUAUGGUAAUCAAUUGAUCAACUCUUGACUUGUAUUGCAAUUUUUGAGGAGUUGGGGAAAAAUUGUCAAGCGGUGGACAUUUUUUACGAUUAAAACAAAACCUUAUCUCAUUCUUUCCAUUCCAUAAAAAAAUGAAAGGGAGCUUCAGAUACAGAAACACAUCGACGGGCAGCAACGAAAAUCGGUAGGAAAAUUCAGCACUGAAGCGGCAAUCAGAAGCAUACUUAUAUUUAUUUCCUUGCUUGGAAUUAAUCCCCUGUUUUGGCUACAACCAGGCGGAGGAGAAUACAGAAGAGGAGAAAUUCCGGAAGGAAAAAGAAUGAUUUGGGUUGUAAUUUCAGUAAAGAAAAUGGGAUUAGGCAUUUCAAUGCUUCAGUUAAGGACUAAGAAGAUACCCCGAAGAUUGCUGCUGCACCUCCCCUUAGACCUCAAUCCUUGAGACUCAAGAUGCCCAAUGCAAGCAUGAAGACACUUUCCUCAAGCUCCAAUUGUAAAAAAAGGUAAGAAGGAUAUCCAGUAAGUUUAAAAUGUUGUUGAAGCACAACGUUUUAUGUUUGGGAAAAUAUGUACAAUGUCAUUUUGUGUACCAUCCUAAAUAUUUUUGGUUGACGGUACAAUUCGAUAUUUGGAUGCAAACUUCAAAUCGAUAUGACUUUAUUGUUGUUUCAUUAGUG